AUUGAACGCUGGCGGUAGGCCUAACACAUACAAGUCGAACGGCAGCACAGGAGAGCUUGCUCUCUGGGUGGCGAGUGGCGGACGGGUGAGGAAUACAUCGGAAUCUACUCUGUCGUGGGGGAUAACGUAGGGAAACUUACGCUAAUACCGCAUACGACCUACGGGUGAAAGCAGGGGAUCUUCGGACCUUGCGCGAUUGAAUGAGCCGAUGUCGGAUUAGCUAGUUGGCGGGGUAAAGGCCCACCAAGGCGACGAUCCGUAGCUUGUCUGCGGGGAUGAUCAGCCACACUGUACCUGAUACACGGUCCAGACUCCUACAGGAGGCAGCAGUGGGGAAUAUUGGACAAUGGGCGCAAGCCUGAUUCAGCCAUACCGCGUGGGUGAAGAAGGCCUUCGGGUUGUAAAGCCCUUUUGUUGGGAAAGAAAUCCAGCUGGCUAAUACCCGGUUGGGAUGACGGUACCCAAAGAAUAAGCACCGGCCAACUUCGUGCCAGCCGCCGCGGUAA
rnacentral:rRNA from 1 species